GUGGCGAACGGGUGAGGAACACGUAAGAAUCUGCCCCUCGGUCGGGGACAACUCUUGGAAACGAGAGCUAAUACCCGAUACGCUGUGGAGUGAAAGAAUUUCGCCGAGGGAUGAUCUUGCGUCUGAUUAGCUAGUUGGUGUGGUAACUGCACACCAAGGCGACGAUCAGUAGCUGGUCUGAGAGGAUGGACAGCCACAUUGGAACUGAGACACGGUCCAAACUCC
rnacentral:rRNA from 1 species